GCCGGGCAUGGUGAUGAAUGCCUGUAAUCCCAGCAGCUCAGGAGGCUAAGGCAGGAAGAUGACAAGUUUAAAACCAGCCUCAACAAUUUAGCAAGACCCUGUCUCUA
rnacentral:sRNA from 1 species